rnacentral:lncRNA from 1 species
CUAAAAUAAAAGAAAGAAGUGCAGACAGGCGAGGGACUUCGUAACCCCCGAUCGUUGGCGUGAACCGAUAAUCGUGGGUAGCUGAGAAUAAACAGAUGUUCCCUUCUAAGUGACCA